AGAAGGCCAUAUGGUGAACAUGGGGCUGCAAAUGAGGUCGCAGAAUACUUGGCUUCAAGAAAGAAGGUGAAGAAGGUGAUCAGUAAUUCCUUGAGGGAUUUGAAGAGCAAGCAAAGAAAAUGUGACUUCUCCAUCUCAGAGAAAGAACCUGAAACUGUGGCUUUAGUCUGCAUCUUGAGGGAGGUAGAAGUUGCCACUCUCACUGUGUUGGAAUCUUUGUUAUCCUCUAUUGCCGGCCCAAAGAUGCAGUCCAAGACAAGCAAAUGGUCAUUAGUUUCCAGAUUAAUGCACUCCAAGCGUGUUGAAUCUGAGGAAGAGAAAGCAGAAUUCGGUGAAUUUGAAAAGGUAGAUGCCGCAUUCCAGACCCAUAUCAGCCAGAAGACAAGCAAAUCCUUCAACAUAAAAGCAGAGAAUGUGCAGAACCUGUUGGGGAACUUGGAGUUGAGCAUUCAUGAUCUUGAUGGAGGAGUAGGUAGCCUAUUUAGGCGUUUAAUUAAGACCAGAGUAUCGCUUCUCAACAUCCUCAACCACUAGCUCAAGAAUUUCACAGUGCAAAGCCCUAGGCACCCAAAUUUUUUUGUUAGAUACACACUUGUACAUGAAUGAGAACUACUUCUAUACUUUUCCUCUAUCAAUUUAUACCUUUUUGGCAGAAAUCAACGUUGUUCCCAUCACUUACUCUCCUUUACCAGAUAUUUCUAUAUGUUGAUAAUUGACAUCCACAUUUUAUUUCUCUGCAAGAAGACGGGGCUUUGGUUUUGAUCUAUACAAUUUUGUACCUGAAUGAAGUUACAUGCCAUUUGAUACUAAUUAUACAUUUUCCAGCAUAAAUGAUGAUUUUUCCUCAUUUUCUAAGAAAUUAAUGAAAUUUAGCAUCCAUGAAUAUAUCACUAAAGUGAAUGUUAACUGCCCAAAGCUGGUCUGUGAAAACAAGCUCUGUUAAAACCUAGAACAGAGGGAAAACUCCUGAUCGAUAUUUUGUACCAAAAUGAAUACAGAACUGUAGGUUCUGACUCAUGCAGUGAACCCAACUAGUGUAGUGAUCAUAAUCAUUUAACUUGUUCACUGUCUUUGUAUCACUCCAUACUCAGAUGGUUUACAAGUUACAUUAAGUUUCUAUUUAGAUCAGUUGGAGAACUGGUUGGAGAAGACAAUGCAUUAGCAUCAGGGAGAAAGCAUUUAGAUCCAAACCAAAAUCACAUUACCACUUAAUAAUUGUUGAAGGGGAAGAGAGUCCUCAUUAUGUUCCCUCAAUCACACUUGGAUAUGUGUGGCACUGCUAAGGAUACUUUAUUGCAGACAAGGAAUUGCAAGUGAACUUCAAUCAACUGCUCACAGAAGGCAUAUAGGUCAUGACUUGUCCAUAGGAAUGAAUAUUUUGUUUUCAUUCCCAUUUAUUCCUAAAUAGGAAUGAAUUUAGUGAAAUUUGUGUUUGGAUGCCCUUUCGAAGGUAAGGUUAGAAUUGUCAUUUGUUUCCAUUUUAUUAUUCCGUGAUAAUGUGAAUGAGAAUGAAAAAGAAAAUAAAUUGACAAUAAUAAUCUUUACAAUAUUAAUUAAAUUGGGCAAGUGCCAUGUCACAUAUAUAAAUAUAUGAGAAAUAAAAAGUUAAGAAUUGAGAAGUGAUUCAUUACAUAUUACUUUGUUAAGAGAUAAAGAUUAUUAUUAUCAAGUUGGUUUGCCCUAGAAAUCAAAUUAUCUUGAGCAAUCUAUUGAGACUUGUACAGUGAUGGAUAUAUGGUAAGGAUUAGUUAUUUGCUGGUGAUAGUGUAGACGGCUUUUGCUGAUCAACUGCAUGGCUGGCAUCCGGUGCAGGGAUCCUAGGUGAUGGUGAAGAAGGCUUUUGUGACGCUGCACGGUUGGCCUCUGGUGCUGGUAGUCGAGGUCCACGGAUCCUUCUCCCUCUGGAUAUCCACCAUCGACUCUCUGGAUCAUUGGGCUCGGCCCUCAAUGCUCUUCCAUACUGUGAUUCAUAAUGGAUAACAAUGUCCAUGGCAUACGAAAUUGGGGCAGUAAGCCCAAUCACUGCAAAGAACAAUAGGAAAGCAAACAAGUAGGAACGGGAACGAGCCUCCAUGGCUUUUGACUGUGAUUAAACAGCAACAGAUUGCAUUAAGAGCUACAUUCGUCUGGUAUUUAUAUAGCAGAAUACAUGCAAUGAUCUUGAGAAGUUGCAUGUUAAUAAAUCUAAAAAGACUCGGUCAUGUGGUAGUCCAGAGUGCAAGUUCAUUUACGCGCUUAGCCCAAUGGAGUCAAUGCCUCAUAGCUCAAGUCAGUGUGUUAUUUCAUGAUAUUAUAUAUAAAAAUUUAUCUUGAAUACAAUAUGCCUUUUAGGCUCUUUUCUCCAAUUUGUCUCCCACCGGACUAUUUUGUCAAUCUUGAACAAUUGAUGAUCAGAGCAAAAAGUGUUUUGUUAAGUUAAUGGAAAGCUUUUUAAGGGAUGAUUGGAAGAGCACCUUUUUUUUCCUUUUUUUCUAAAAAAAAAUUUAUUUGCAACAAUUUUUGUUUGCAAAAUUAAACUCCAAACAAACAGCUAGCUAGCUAUUUUGCUUAUUUUCUUGGUUUCACAUGUAUGAACACGUCUAAUUUAUUUGGUCAAACAUAAAUUACGUGAGAAUCAAUCAUUAAGUAAUUUGCAAGUGGUUGUUGAAUCUUCUAUCCCUUCCUUCUUCGAAAACUCAUACAUGAACUAUAUUAAAAACAAGAGUUUCCAUAUUAUACUUCAAAUUAAACUUGACUUUGGGCCAUAUAAGAAUGUUUCCCUUGUAAGGAUUUGGAACUUGUAGUGUUUUUAUUAAUUAAUAAUCCUUUCAUAAUAAAUGCUUCUAUGAAUAAUCAAUUAUAUUUAGUUGCAAAUAAAUAAAAAAUAUUCUAAAAAAAUAUUGUUCUAGAGAGUGUUUUUAUGGUAAUGUCCUAUAAAACUAAAGGUGAUUUUUGAAAAAAAAAAAACAUCUACUUAUAUAUAUGAAAAAAGAAAAACAUCUCUAUAUGAAAUGAAAUGAAAUAUAGAUUUAUAAAACGUAAACAAUGAGAAUCCUCACGUUGGAAAGGUUGAACAUUUUUUUAUGGGUUUAUAUUGUAUCCUAUUUUUUUUAACCAAAUGGGCUUGUAGAUAAGUAAGUGGGAGCCUCGCACCUCCAAAGGGGCCAAAGUCCAUUUUAGUGGAAGUUCUCCCCUUGUCAUAUUGAACUAACAAUGUGUAUCGAAUGUGAGGUUUAAUAUUAGUUGUUGAAUCAUGGAGAUAGGACAUCGGUUUCCUUAUUGUACUGAGAUUGCGAGAAGGCCGAAUUUAUGUUAAAGAUAAUGCUCACAUCAUCUAAACAAUCUGAUAAGUGCUCUACUUUAUCUUUUAAGUUUACUCUUUUUGUCAUGUUUUAGACUUAGUCACAUUUGAACUAGCUCUAAGUUUUCAAAUGUUCUUAUAUAUAUAUAUAUAUAUAUAUAUAUCUUUUAGUGGCUUUGAUACCAUAAACACUCAAAACUAUCACACACGCAUCCUUCAGUUAGGCUUUGAACCUGGUUGCCCAUAUAACCACCAAGGGGGAUCUAAUGUGUAUCCAGAGCAUAUAUCUAGGUAUCCAUCAGAGUCUUAGGCAACCCCUGUAAGAGGAAUCACUGUCACCAGUGGACGGAGAGCCCCACUUCACUCCAAUGACCUCUAGGUCAUGGGUGAGAGUUCCCACUGGUGUCAUGCCUAAAUUUGGUAUGUUAGGUCGAAGACUCUAAUACCAUAGACACCCAAGAUGAGGUAAUAUGCAAUGAAAUGAUAAAUUGUAAAAACUCAAAACAAAUUAAGAGAAAUCAGAAAUAAACACAGAGAUAUUAAAUCAUAAAGAAAUUUAAAAGAAAGGAACAUAAAACUUAUGUAUUACAUAAGCUUGAAAACAUACAUUAUGAGAGAUAACAUACAAUGGAAAGGUAAGAGAUGGAGGAAGAAAGGAAAGCUUAAAACUUUAAUUUGGAAGGCUUACAUCUUGAGAGAGAAAGAAGAGAGAAGGAAGAGCUUAAGAAGCUUAAAAUUCGAUCUACUUACAAUUGAGGACCAUACCCCCUUAAAUAAGAAAAAUAAGAAUCUUGAAUAGUAAAAGCAAUUGAUGUGUUAUUGUUGAUUUUUUGACUUCAAUUGUGAAUAGUGACUUCAAUUGUGAAUAAGAAUCACUCGUAAUGUGAAUAGUGAGCAGUAAAAAUAACUUUUACUAUAAUACUUUUGACUUUUGGUGAUCGAAUUUUGCAUUCGGUGGAUUCUGUGUGCUUUAUUGCUUAUAUAUAUAUAUAUUGGAAACCACUAUUCAAUAUGUAUCUUGCAAUGCCAUAAUUAUCUCUAAAACUGAAAUUAAAGAUGUAGAUUUGAAGUAGUGAAUAUUGAUGAUUCUUGAAAUGAAAAAUAAAACAAUUUUAAACUUUUUGCAUGGAACAUAAGAAGAAAAAUAUUAAAAUAAAUUUGUGAAUUUUCGCACCCUUUCAAAAUAACCCAAAUAAAAAAGUUUCACUUUAAAUAUCCAAUCAAAGUUCAAGUAAAAACAUUUAUUCAACAAUGAUUUAUGAUAUAAGCAUGAUAAUUUUAGAGUAAUCUUUUUUUUUUUUUAAAGAAAAAAUUAAAACUAGAUUUUCUAAAUCUUACAUUGAAGUUAUAAAAAUGAAAUAUAUUUUGAACUCAAAGAAAAAUGUAAUUUUAAAAUGUGGAGCAAAAUUAGAAUUAGUUUGAGCAUCAUCAAUUCUAGUUGAUCUAAAAUAAUGCUAUAUGAUCACUUUAAAAUAAAACUUUCUAAAUUCCAUCCAUAGAUGUUAAAUUUGAUUCAAAGUGGUUCAAAUAACUGAUGAUAAGAUGUGCAGCAACACUGCUAGUUAACUAAUGAUAUAUUACCUUACAUAAGAUGCAAGAAGUCAGAUUUUCUGUUGUUUACUUCCAAUGAUUCGCUUAUAGACUUAUUGACAACAAUCCUUAGUAUCCUUUCCUUUUAUGGUGGGUUAAUAUAUGAGCUAUGGUCUCAUGUAAGUGAGGAUUUCUAUGCAUCUAGGGAAGAUCUCUACCUUGAAAACUUAGAUUUAUAAAGGAAAAAAAUGGCCAAGGAUUUUGUUAGUGGACAAGGGGCUAAAGAUUUAUAUACUUGAGAUUCUUACACAGAUGGAAGUCAUAAGAAAUUAUCCAAUUUCAUCUUACCCGUUGUGGCAAUGCAACCACCCACCAAAUCAUUGGACCAUUAGUAUGCAACAAAUCUUAUAAUAUAAUCCAGGCUGCAUGAGAACUGGUAUAAACUGAUCAUAAAAUAAUCUACUCAUUAAUUAGGUUCCUUUUGUCUCAAUUGGGGUUGACUCCAUUUGCAUGGUCACUUCAUUUCCGAUCAAGCAGGCCACACCAGUGAUGCAUUUAAAUUACAGGAUGGCACGAGUGGUACUGCAAUCUUGUCUCCCCUACCAGCAUAUAUCGCAUAGUUUAUUAUGUAGUAAUUGACAAAUGGCGUUACCAUUAUUGAACAUAUUUAAACUUGCAAAUUCAUAAUUAUUCCACUAGUUUAUUACAUGGAAGAGACAAGAUGGAAAUGCCACCAUGCACCAUGUGUGUUUAUGAGAUAUCAUAUGUGGCUGUGCUAAGGUCAAUGCCAUGACAAGUCUAGAAAAGUACAUAAUUAUGAAGUGGGUUGGGGAACAUUCAACUAACAUUUGCAGACAUCAUGUUUAGAUCAAAUCAAACUCAUGUUGUGAGUCAUUGAGAGUUGAGAUGAUGAGAUUCCUUAUGUCUCCUUUCCCUCGUAUAUAUAUAGAGCAGAUGCCAAGGGAGGAAGGCAACUUGCUAGAUCUGAGCUGUACAUUUCAAGCGCCAGGCCUCCUGUAAGAAACAUGGCUUCUUCUUCUUCUCCUCCAAUCCCCAAAACCAGUUAUCAUGCUCGCUCCAUCAGCUUGCCCCCAAGACCUCACCCAUUGAUUCCUGAAAUAGAUGAGCAUUUGUGUAGAUUAGGGGCUUCUGAAGCCAUCUCAUCAUCGUCAUCAAUAACUGAUAAGCUAACCAGCCUUAAUAGUUUGUAUGAUUGCAUGGAGAAUUUGCUUCUGUUGUCACUCUCUCGGCAAGCCUUGGUCCAACAUCAAAAUCAGAAAUGGGUUAAUGAGGUAGCAGAUGGAUAUCUUCUACUGUUGGACCUAUGUAGCGUGGCUGAAGAUGCCUUGCUGCAGAGCAAGGAAGGCGUCCAAGAACUACAAUCAACUCUGCGCAGAAGGCCAUAUGGUGAACAUGGGGCUGCAAAUGAGGUCACAGAAUACUUGGCUUCAAGAAAGAAGGUGAAGAAGGUGGUCAGUAAGUCCUUGAGGGAUUUGAAGAGCAAGCAAAGAAAAUGUGACUUCUCCAUCUCAGAGAAAGAACCUGAAACUGUGGCUUUAGUCUGCAUCUUGAGGGAGGUAGAAGUUGCCACUCUCACUGUCUUGGAAUCUUUGUUAUCUUCUAUUGCCGGCCCAAAGAUGCAGUCCAAUACAAGCAAAUGGUCA
rnacentral:lncRNA from 1 species